rnacentral:rRNA from 1 species
CCUACGGGAGGCAGCAGUGGGGAAUAUUGCACAAUGGGGGCAACCCUGAUGCAGCGACGCCGCGUGAGUGAAGAAGUAUUUCGGGAUGUAAAGCUCUAUCAGCAGGGAAGAAAAUGACGGUACCUGACUCAGAAGCCCCGGCUAACUACGUGCCAGCAAACGCGGUAAUACGGAGGGGGCAAGCGUUAUUCGGAUUUACUGGGUGUAAAGGGAGCGUAGACGGCUAAUCAAGUCAGAAGUGAAAACCCAGGGCUCAACCUUGGGACUGCUUUUGAAACUGGGUGGCGAGAGUGCAGGAGAGGUAAGCGGAAUUCCUGGUGUAGCGGUGAAAUGCGUAGAUAUCAGGAGGAACACCAGUGGCGAAGGCGGCUUACUGGACUGUAACUGACGUUGAGGCGCGAAAGCGUGGGGAGCAAACAGGAUUAGAUACCCUUGUAGUC